GCCAGGACAUGUGGAGCCUUUGGUUGAUGUCUCCAAGACCUUAGGUGCAUUAUAUCAAAUCCUUCUCAACCAGACGGUGGCCAAGAAGAACAGAGAUCCAGAGAUACAAAGUGAGCAUGAACAAGAGAGAGUGAGCUGAAACGAGUUGGAGAACAUACCCAUAAUUACAAAAACGUUCAUGCUUAUAUUCCACAAGAUUACAUCAGGUUUCCUGCAGAUGGACACUACUCCACCCAUAUCAGACCGAUAAACAUAUAACCGAAGAGUGUGCGUUGA